rnacentral:tRNA from 1 species
GGUCGCAUCGUAUAGCGGAUAUUAUAUCCGGUUGUCAGCCGGAGGAUCGGGGUUCAACUCCCCGUGUGACCGCCA